rnacentral:lncRNA from 1 species
GAGGGGCAUUAUGGUGAUGUCUUGAAUAAAAAAAAUGGGAGUGCAAUGCUGUCCAGCUGGAGCACCACGCUCAUUCACUUGGGCUUGAGAAAGUGGGCUGCAUUAAGUAUUGAAAACAACACACGUCCAUGAACACCUAGUGGGCAGCACGUUAAAUGAAGAAGGUUGCCACCGCCUGAAUGGAUUGGGCUUGGUGAGCUGGAAUAAAAAAGAAGAGAAG